rnacentral:rRNA from 1 species
CAGAGGGUGCGAGCGUUAAUCGGAAUUACUGGGCGUAAGGCGUGUGUAGGUGGUUGUGUAAGUUAGAUGUGAAAUCCCCCGGGCUUAACCUGGGAACUGCGUUUAAAACUGCACAGCUAGAGUAUUGCAGAGGAUAGUGGAAUUUCCAGUGUAGCGGUGAAAUGCGUAGAUAUUGGAAGGAACACCAGUGGCGAAGGCGACUAUCUGGGCAAAUACUGACACUGAGACACGAAAGCAUGGGGAGCAAACAGGAUUAGAUACCCUGGUAGUCCAUGCCGUAAACUAUGAGAACUUGCUGUUGGAUGCAUAAAGGCAUUUAGUAGCGAAGCUAACGCGUUAAGUUCUCCGCCUGGGGAGUACGGCCGCAAGGCUA